CCCCCUUCUUCCCCCCAAACAACAACCCCACCCCCCACUUCUCCACCCCAGAGGAGCUGGAGCGGCACAGGCUCCGGGGGAAGCCGCCUGCACUCGCCGCGGCGGCGGCGGCGGCGGCUUCGGCAGCGCCCAGGGCUGUGCCCCGCCGGACCCAGAUGCCCCGGGAAGCCGACAGUCCGGCUGCCCGCCGGAGCUCACAGGCGGCGGCGGCGGCGGCGGCGGCGGCGGCAGCGGCGGUGGCGGCGGCGGUGGCGCUUGGCAGGUCUCCGCGCAAUUUUCUCUCUCCCCCACCACCCACCCCCCUUCUCCUCCUCCUGCAAAAUGCACCGCCCCCCUCCUUUCUCCUGGAGCAAUGCAACUGGGGCUCUAGGCGCCCCGCCAGGGCCAGUCCUGGGGAAAGCUCGCGGCGGCGCUGGAGCCGGGCUGGAGGGUGCAGGGCCGGUUCUGGGGGGUGCUCGAGGUGGAGCUGGAAGGCUUCUCACUAGCUGGGUGCUUUGCACUAGGAGGGGAGCUGCCGGGAGGUGCUGGGGGCUCGUCUCUUGGUGCAGUUCGGCGCAAGGAAUUUCUCCAAGUGCACGGAGCUUUUUCCCCAGGCGCGUCUCGCCUUCCUCUCUCCCGGGCUCGGUCUAAGUCCCCUCCCCCUCCCCCCAACACGCACACACACACACUUAGACACACACACACUUACACACACACACACACACACUUUGCGCCGGGGGAGUCCGGGAGCCGCAGCGUUGCGCAGCUUGAUGUAAUUCCUAGGAAGCACUCCUGCCCGCCUGUUACCCAGGCCCGCGAGGGGGGUCCGCUCCUCACCCUCCUUCUCCUCCUUGGCCUGGUCCUGCACCCUGAGUGGCCGAGCUGCAGGGGCGCGUCCGGAUCGCCUGCGGCUCCCCUAGCCCGCCGGCUCCGCGCGGCGGCAGCUCGGCUCCCUGGGGGCGGCGCGCCCUCUGCUGGCCCUCGGCGAGUCCUGCUCCUGGCGCUGGCGGGGGCGGCCCUGCGAGCUCUCCAGACACUCAGUGUAAACAGACUUCCUGAGAUUCCUCCCCAAGCCCCUCAAGUGUCACAAGAAUUGUACUGCACCUUCUGCCUCCGCUAUAUCGGCCUCAGAGGGCAAGAAUGCAGACCAGAAACUUAAAAGCUGAUACUAAGAACAAUUCAACAAUUUUCUUGCUUGUUUGGCCCUGGAAACACAGACCUGAGGCAGCUGUGGGUGAUGUACAAAGAACAUGGGGCUUGUUGUUGGAAAACUUGCAAACUACCAGCUCUGUGACCUUGGGUGAGUCACUUCACCUCUCUGGGGCUCCUUGACAUGGAGAGGUCAGGGGACCAUGAGGUACCACGAAGGAGAAGGCAUGAGAGCUAUCAUCUUUUAGGCCCAGCAUCAUCCCAGGCAUAUGAACGUCAUCGAGCUCUGAUUGUAGUUAUUUCUCAGAUCCUAUCAAUGUCGAAUUUGAUGGGCUUUUUCUUAGUGAGACCCAAAAUGGCAUUUUGGGACUUGAUCCAACUUAGCAAAGUGAGGAGAAGCCAGCCACGAGGCUUGUGACUUUCCUCUCCUGACUGCUGGAAGAAUGCGAGUGGAGGUGGCUCCCAAAGCCAGAGGAUGGUGGACUCUCUAAACAGCCUCACCCCCAUCCUGCCCACUCCCCCACCUUGGUUGGGGGAACCCUGGCCACUUCAGCACCCACAGCCAGGGUCAGGGCCAGUUCAGCUUCAUGAUGCAUUCUAAUUUUGUGUGUGUGUGUCCAACUGGUGAUGGGAUUCUAGUUAGAAGGGUGAAAUUCUAACUAACAUAGGCAAUAGGAGUGAGGAGGUAAAAGGGGGAAAAAAUAGGAGGAGGGAAAGAGGGGAGAAGGGGAGAGAGAUAACCCCAAAUUGUGGGCUGGGGUGGGAAAAUGGGUAAAAUGGGUAAAUAAAUGUGACAUGCAUUUCUAGGAACA
rnacentral:lncRNA from 1 species